rnacentral:misc_RNA from 1 species
GAUGAAGAACGUAGCGAAAUGCGAUAAGUAAUGUGAAUUGCAGAAUUCAGUGAAUCAUCGAAUCUUUGAACGCACAUUGCGCCCGCCAGUAUUCUGGCGAGCAUGCCUGUUCGAGCGUCAUUUCAACCAUCAAGCCCCAGGCUUGUGUUGGAGCCCUGCGGCUGCCGCAGCCUCCCAAAACCAGUGGCGGGCUCGCUAUCACACCGAGUGAAGUAGUUUACUCUUCGCUCAGGGCGUGUGGCGGGUGCUAGCCGUGAAACCCCCAACUUCUCAAGGUUGACCUCGGAUCAGGUAGGAAUACCCGCUGAACUUAAGCAUAUCAAUAAGCGGAGGA